UACGUAGGGGGCAAGCGUUGUCCGGAUUUAUUGGGCGUAAAGAGCGUGUAGGCGGCCUGAAAGGUCAGCUGUGAAAACCCGAGGCUCAACCUCGAGACGUCGGUGGAAACCGUUUGGCUAGAGUCCGGAAGAGGAGAGUGGAAUUCCCGGUGUAGCGGUGAAAUGCGCAGAUAUCGGGAAGAACACCCGUGGCGAAGGCGGCUCUCUGGGACGGUACUGACGCUGAGACGCGAAAGCGUGGGGAGCGAACAGG
rnacentral:rRNA from 1 species